rnacentral:lncRNA from 1 species
CCUACAUACAUUUUUUUUUUUCCAAACAGAAGUAAAGAAAAUUAAAUAAAAUGAAAAGCAAGCUGUGGACUAAUUAUCCUUUUCUAAAUGACUUCAUAUUGUAAAAUAGCCUAUUGAAUGCAUAAUGAACAUCAUUACCACCGUUUGCAAGUGGAGGAAAGCCGAGCGGUCAUCCCGUCAUUAUCAGCACUUGUUUCGCGCGUGAUGCAGAGUGCCAAGGGCUCCUGGAGCAGACAGCGAAGACACCUGAUGGUGCUGGGGUUGGGAGGUGGUGGCAUGGUGACUGACAGCACAGGGCAGCAUGAAGAGAGAGCAUCAGGAAAUUGCCUGGAGAACUUGCAGGGAAAGAACAGCCCUCCGCACCUACGAUAGAGCACCUCACAUAAGCUGUGCAAAUACAUAUGCAUAUAUAGCACAUUUCAAUUCAUUUGUAGGCUACAUUGAAAAUUUAGGUUGCAUGGCUCUGACUAGACAAAGUGCAUUGAAUGAUUUUGUUUCUAAUAUGAGAGUGUUGGCGAUUUUAACAGCAUUUGAUCUGCUGAAAUGAGAUAUGGCCUGGAAUAACAAGCAGCAGUUCAAAGAUUUAUCUAAAUAUAUUUGGCAGUUCCCCCACCCUUUGCUCGCAAUAUGUACAUAUCACAAUUGAGACUAUCCCCUGUAAAUUACCACCCUCCAUGGGGUUCUCCUGUUCAAUUAUUUCAAAUAAGCGAGGCCAAAUGCUCUCAACUUAGCCAGAGAUAAUCAACUAAUGUAAAGCAAUUUCCAACAGUUAUAUUCUUCUGCUUCGGGCUCAUUAAAAAAAAAAAAAAGGAAAAUUGGGGUGGAAAGAAAUAGGGAAUGUUAUCGAUUGUUUGCCAGUGCUGGAUCAGCUGUCAUGUGUGUACGUAAAUAUUAAGGACAGCAGCACUGGAUACCAAGGCCAAGCCAUCCUCUGUAACUCAACAGCAGCAAGACCGGGCUCAAAGCCCCCUGCACUUGCCAUCGCUAUGGAGACUACGUGGAUGAGACGUGGAUGAGAUCCUUUCAUUAGUUGGGAGAUCCAUCUGCUGGUAUAAAGCUGCAGGAAUUAGUUUCACUUCCAGGGCUUUUUAAUUAUGCUCAAAUAUAAGUGCACCAGCCAGACAAAGAUGUUGCAUUACCUCCUAAAUUUCAGAUCGUGACAUUCUCUCCUUCAGGCAUUAUGUUUGCUGUUUGCAUUGACUUUCAAUUUACAAUAGCCAUUUCUUGCUGUAGUAUAACACAAAUUUCACUGCAAAUUCAGAAACUCAAUGCAAUAGAGAUGAAACUUUGUAAUUUACAUAAUCGGAAAUGUACCGAGCAAUAGCUGAAAGUUCUGAUUUUAGACAUAUUCCUGAAAUAGAAUGGGA